CGCGGGGUGGAGCAGUCUGGUAGCUCGUCGGGCUCAUAACCCGAAGGUCGCAAGUUCAAAUCUUGUCCCCGCAACCA
rnacentral:tRNA from 4 species